rnacentral:rRNA from 1 species
GGCUUCGUGCUCGAAAGAGAACCGUAACACAGGUGCUGCAUGGCUGUCGUCAGCUCGUGUCGUGAGAUGUUGGGUUAAGUCCCGCAACGAGCGCAACCCUUGUCAUUAGUUGUUACGAAAGGGCACUCUAAUGAGACUGCCGGUGACAAACCGGAGGAAGGUGGGGAUGACGUCAAGUCCUCAUGGCCCUUAUAGGUGGGGCUACACACGUCAUACAAUGGCUGGUACAGAGGGUUGCCAACCCGCGAGGGGGAGCUAAUCCCAUAAAACCAGUCGUAGUCCGGAUCGCAGUCUGCAACUCGACUGCGUGAAGUCGGAAUCGCUAGUAAUCGCGGAUCAGC